UACGGAGGAUCCGAGCGUUAUCCGGAUUUAUUGGGUUUAAAGGGUGCGCAGGCGGGAAAUUAAGUCGGCGGUGAAAUUUUGCGGCUCAACCGUAAAAGUGCCUUCGAAACUGGUUUCCUUGAGUGUGGAUGAAGUAGGCGGAAUUUGUGGUGUAGCGGUGAAAUGCUUAGAUAUCACGAGGAACUCCGAUUGCGCAGGCAGCUCACAAAGCCAAGAUUGACGCUGAGGCACGAAAGUGUGGGGAUCAAACAGGAUUAGAUACCCGCGUAGUCCCUGA
rnacentral:rRNA from 1 species